GGGGAUUCCUGGAGAUGGGAUUUUAUUUUUUGCAGCCAAUAAAUCACAUUGCCAGGGAUUUCCAA
rnacentral:pre_miRNA from 1 species